CCUACGGGGGGCAGCAGUGGGGGAUAUUGCACAAUGGGGGGAACCCUGAUGCAGCGACGCCGCGUGGGUGAAGGAGUGCUUCGGCAUGUAAAGCCCUAUCGGCAGGGAAGAAGCAAGACGGUACCUGACUAAGAAGCACCGGCUAACUACGUGACAGCAGCCGCGGUAAUACGUAGGGGGCGAGCGUUAUACGGAUUCACUGGGUGUAAAGGGAGCGUAGACGGCCAUGCAAGCCAGGGGUGAAAGCCCGGGGCCCAACCCCGGGACUGCCCUUGGAACUGGGCGGCUAGAGUGCGGGAGGGGCAUGCGGAAUUCCUGGUGUAGCGGUGAAAUGCGUAGAUAUCAGGAGGAACACCGGCGGCGAAGGCGGCCUGCUGGACCGCGACUGACGUUGAGGCUCGAAAGCGUGGGGAGCGAACAGGAUUAGAUACCCUAGUAGUC
rnacentral:rRNA from 1 species